AAGAUCGGGUCGUCCACGGACAUCCUGACCAGGUUCCUUAUAUUAUCACUUGGGAGAGUCUUGCCUUAUACCCCCCCCCCUUGGGCGGAACCCUUCGUGGACCCGAAUUGGCCUCCCCUCAACCCCCAGCUUGUCCCCUCGGCCCCGCCCGGUUUGCUGGCCCCGUCUUCCUCUCUCUACCCCACUCUAAUUAAAUCAGAGCCUUCUAAGAAACCUGUCCUCCCGGCAGACUCAAACUCCCCUCUCAUAGAUCUUCUCUCUGAAGAUCCUCCUCCCCCAUAUCGUUUACCUACAGGCCCGGCUGAAACGGAGGAGGCAGAGCUGCCGGCCAGAUCAGUUGCCGGGCCACAGUCUGAUAAGGGUUUCUCCCCUGUCGCAGGGAGAUUGCGCAAUAAGCGCGAGGUGAUGCCAGAUACAACCUCCCA
rnacentral:lncRNA from 1 species